rfam:Marinobacter algicola DG893 1103407001943, whole genome shotgun sequence.
AUCAUUGUGAGGUGGGGUCUGAAGGAAGCCCAAUCCAAAGCUGCGGGGCGACGAACAGGAACCUGAUACGAGGUGUGGUACAUCCGGGGCGAGCGGGCACGUGACCGCGAAGCCCUCCAACUGCGACCGGGGUGUGCUUUAUAAAUCAGGCGUCCACGCAGCGACAGUUUUGUGU